rfam:Candidatus Altiarchaeales archaeon IMC4 isolate IMC4_SM1 MSIBFv1_B, whole genome shotgun sequence.
GCCCUUGUAGCUCAGUUGGUAGAGCGCUCGACUGUUAAUCGAGUGGUCGAAGGUUCAAGUCCUUCCGAGGGCG